AAGUCAUGGUGAGAGCAUUCUCUAAGCAUACUUUUGAAUAUAUCUCAUGCUUCAUAGAGAAAUUCAGUAUCAAACUGUCUGAAGCUAGCAAUCAAACUUCACAU